GGUAGUAUCUGACACCCUUGAGGGUUUGGGUGUUAUAGGUAGUGCUGCGGCUGCGGGUGGAACUGCUGUGGUUCCCCCCGUUGUUGGUGAGAAAAGAGGACCAGAGUAGAAGGCUGCUGGUGGUGGUGAACCGAAGCGUCGGAGACUGCAGACCAAGAGAGUUGCUCCGGCGCAAAAGAAACCUGCAGUUGCUGCUGAAUCCCGAGAUGCAGGGUAUUCUUUCUUUGACUUCCCUUCGUCUCCUCUGCAUACCGCUGCUGCGGGUGCGGGGAUACUGGUAA
rnacentral:lncRNA from 1 species